rnacentral:rRNA from 1 species
CCUACGGGGAGCAGCAGUGAGGAAUAUUGGUCAAUGGACGAGAGUCUGAACCAGCCAAGUAGCGUGAAGGAUGACUGCCCUAUGGGUUGUAAACUUCUUUUAUAUGGGAAUAAAAUGUUCCACGUGUGGGAUUUUGUAUGUACCAUAUGAAUAAGGAUCGGCUAACUCCGUGCCAGCAGCCGCGGUAAGACGGAGGAUCCGAGCGUUAUCCGGAUUUAUUGGGUUUAAAGGGAGCGUAGGUGGAUUGUUAAGUCAGUUGUGAAAGUUUGCGGCUCAACCGUAAAAUUGCAGUUGAAACUGGCAGUCUUGAGUACAGUAGAGGUGGGCGGAAUUCGUGGUGUAGCGGUGAAAUGCUUAGAUAUCACGAAGAACUCCGAUUGCGAAGGCAGUUCACUGGACUGCAACUGACACUGAGGCUCGAAAGUGUGGGUAUCAAACAGGAUUAGAUACCCGUGUAGUC